rnacentral:rRNA from 1 species
AGAGUUUGAUUCUGGCUCAGGAUGAACGCUAGCGACAGGCCUAACACAUGCAAGUCGAGGGGUAACAGGGAGCUUGCUCCGCUGACGACCGGCGCACGGGUGAGUAACGCGUAUGCAACCUUCCUGCGGGAUCGGGAUAGCCCCCCGAAAGGGGGAUUAACACCGGAUGAGUCAGACGCCUGGCAUCGGGGGUCUGGCAAAUGCGAAGCCUGCGGAUGGGCAUGCGUCCCAUUAGGAAGCUGGCGGGGUAACGGCCCACCAGUCCGACGAUGGGUAGGGGUUCUGAGAGGAAGGUCCCCCACAUUGGUACUGAGACACGGACCAAACUCCUACGGGAGGCAGCAGUGAGGAAUAUUGGUCAAUGGGCGAGAGCCUGAACCAGCCAUGUCGCGUGCGGGAUACGGCCCUAUGGGUCUUAAACCGCUUUUGCCGGGGGAUAAAGUCGUCCACGCGUGGAUGAUUGCAGGUACCCGGCGAAUAAGGAUCGGCUAACUCCGUGCCAGCAGCCGCGGUAAUACGGAGGAUCCGAGCGUUAUCCGGAUUUAUUGGGUUUAAAGGGUGCGCAGGCGGCACGUCAAGUCUGCGGUGAAAUGUCAGGGCUCAACCUUGGCACCGCCAUGGAAACUGACGGGCUAGAGUGCGUUUGGGGGUCGUGGAAUGUGCGGUGUAGCGGUGAAAUGCAUAGAUAUCGCACAGAACGCCGAUCGCGAAGGCAGCGACCCAAGCCGCAACUGACGCUCAGGCACGAAAGCGCGGGGAUCGAACAGGAUUAGAUACCCUGGUAGUCCGCGCAGUAAACGAU